GGUUAAGCGACUAAGCGUACACGGUGGAUGCCCUGGCAGUCAGAGGCGAUGAAGGACGUGCUAAUCUGCGAUAAGCGUCGGUAAGGUGAUAUGAACCGUUAUAACCGGCGAUUUCCGAAUGGGGAAACCCAGUGUGUUUCGACACACUAUCAUUAACUGAAUCCAUAGGUUAAUGAGGCGAACCGGGGGAACUGAAACAUCUAAGUACCCCGAGGAAAAGAAAUCAACCGAGAUUCCCCCAGUAGCGGCGAGCGAACGGGGAGCAGCCCAGAGCCUGAAUCAGUGUGUGUGUUAGUGGAAGCGUCUGGAAAGGCGCGCGAUACAGGGUGACAGCCCCGUACACAAAAAUGCACAUGCUGUGAGCUCGAUGAGUAGGGCGGGACACGUGGUAUCCUGUCUGAAUAUGGGGGGACCAUCCUCCAAGGCUAAAUACUCCUGACUGACCGAUAGUGAACCAGUACCGUGAGGGAAAGGCGAAAAGAACCCCGGCGAGGGGAGUGAAAAAGAACCUGAAACCGUGUACGUACAAGCAGUGGGAGCACGCUUAGGCGUGUGACUGCGUACCUUUUGUAUAAUGGGUCAGCGACUUAUAUUCUGUAGCAAGGUUAACCGAAUAGGGGAGCCGAAGGGAAACCGAGUCUUAACUG
rnacentral:rRNA from 1 species